rnacentral:lncRNA from 1 species
GGCAAAUGAGAUAGUAAAGACACAUAAUAAUGACUCUUUUCGUAUCCUCUUGUAUGAAUGAAUACGCAGAUCAUCACAUUGUUAAAAAAAAAAAAAAAAAAGAUGAUAUGAUUAGUAGUAGUAGUAGUAGUAGUGAGGUGGAAUAGUGUUAAGGUCGUAUCAAGAAACUUUUGCUUACGCAUAUAUUUUGCUUGUCCGAACAGAUUCAGAGUUUUGUGUCAGCCUCCUCUUUCUUCCUUCUUUCUUCCUUGUGUGACGUUUCUAAGGACACCAAGCGGUAAAUCUCUGCUGCCCCUCUC